rnacentral:rRNA from 1 species
GACGAACGCUGGCGGCGUGCCUAAUACAUGCAAGUUGAGCGCUGAAGGUUGGUACUUGUACCAACUGGAUGAGCAGCGAACGGGUGAGUAACGCGUGGGGAAUCUGCCUUUGAGCGGGGGACAACAUUUGGAAACGAAUGCUAAUACCGCAUAAAAACUUUAAACACAAGUUUUAAGUUUGAAAGAUGCAAUUGCAUCACUCAAAGAUGAACCCGCGUUGUAUUAGCUAGUUGGUGAGGUAAAGGCUCACCAAGGCGAUGAUACAUAGCCGACCUGAGAGGGUGGUCGGCAACAUUGGGACGGGGACACGGCCCAAGCCCCUGCGGGAGGCAGCAGUAGGGAAUCUUCGGCAAUGGACGAAAGUCUGACCGAGCAACGCCGCGUGAGUGAAGUAGUUUUUCGGAUCGUAAAACUCUGUUGGUAGAGAAGAGCGUUGGUUUGGGAGGAAAGCUCAUCAAGUGACGGUAACUACCCAGAAAGGGACGGCUAACUACGUG